rnacentral:lncRNA from 1 species
ACUCUGGCUCAGGAGGCUGCCUGACUCAUGAAUUGUUCAUUGCUCAAUUAAACACUUUUAAAGUUAAUUCAGCUGAAGUUUUUCUUUUAACAGAUGGUUUCUGAAGUGAGAUCAGAAGUAGAGCUUCUAAUGACCCCCAGAAGCACUGAGUGACCAAGUGACAUACCUGCCAGGCCCAUUGUGUCCAUCGCUCUCAGAGCAGCUGGGGAUUGUGUCUAGAACACGAAGAUUGGAUCUUCUGAGAACAUCAGAGAAAGACUGCCCUUGCCGUCCACACCACAGUAAAACUUUGGGACCUUGAACCUUGGGUUCAUAAUCUCGCAACUGACAAGGGCCCUUCCGCAUUCUUGGAACUGUACACCCAUUGGCACUCUUAAGCUAAAGCUAACCAGAGGAGUUUCUUUUCAGAAAAAGAUGGCAUCCUUGAUGUGAACAGCUUUUUCCCAAGACUACAGAUCAAGACUUCUCUACCACCAUGAGACACUUAUCUUUGAUUUUUUCCCUUGGUUAUGCCUCUAUGAACAAUAAAAGUGGAAAGGGGGUCUGUUGUGUGCACUCAUGGGGUGUAGUUUUAUUUGUGAAGGAUUUUUCAGCCAGCCUUAUACAUGGAUAACCUUAUAACUCGAUAGAUGGAAGGUGAAGGCCCAAUGUAGAUGAGAAAUUUUAAUGGUGCCUAUGUUGCCUCAUAGGCAGUCAAAAACAGAGCAUUGGCUCACUCCUCAUUUUUUUUUUUUUUUUUUGAGACGAAGUCUCAUUCUUCUCACCCAGGCUGGAGUGCAAUGGCACGAUCUCGGCUCAGUGUAACCUCUGCCUCCUGGGUUCAAGCGAUUCUCCUGCCUCAGCCUCCUGAGUAGCUGGGAUUACAGCCACCUGCCACUACACCCAGCUAAUUUUUGUAUUUUUAGUAGAGACGGGGUUUCACCAUGUUGGCCAGGCUGGUCUCGAACUCCUGACCUCAGGUGAUCUACCCGCCUCGGCCUCCCAAAGUGCUGGGAUUACAGGCAUGAGCCACCGCGCCUGGCUGUCUCACUCCUUUUAACCUAUGUCAUGGGUUAAAGAGCACAUUGCCUCCAGGCAAUGUUCUCUUCUAGAAGGGCAUCAUUUAUUAGGUCAUUUUUUCCAUUAUUUGGAGAAAAAGAGGCAACGAUUAGAAAUGUAUCCCUCAUGAUAGGCUCCAUAGCAGAUUCUACUGUAAGGGCUAUGGAUACGCAAGAUACUUUAAAUUCUCUUGUGAAAGUUAUGCUAAGUAAUAGAAUUUCUCUAGAUUACUUACUGGCUAAACACAGAAGUAUCCGUUCAGCUGCUGGCCCUUGUGGCCUAUGGAAAAAUACAUCACAUCCAAUAUAUUAUAGGGAUUCAAUUGUAAGAUAUUAAUGCAGAGACUGUUAAGUGAGUAGACUUUUUAGCUCAUUCUUUGAUCCAUUUGAUUUUAGAUGGUUUGGUUUAUGGGGACCCUGGGUAAGACACAUACUCCAAACUCGUGAUAUUAUCCUCCCCAAUGAUAGUAGUAUAUAGUACUAAUAGUAAUAAUAACAGUAAUAAUAGUAACAGUAACUAACAGUAAUAAUAGUAGUCUCCUUGGUGCGCUGUAUUCUUUCAAAGUUUUUAAAUGUUUGUAUGCAGCCGUCUCUAGAAUGUCCAAUGGUCUCUCUUCAAUUGGAAAGACAAGAGCUGAAAGAAUGUGUGACCAUGAGGGCACCAUAACCUAUGAAUGACUGGAAACCAAAAAUGAUGGUGACUGAGGGUGGUGCUAAGACCCUAAGUUUUGGUCACACUCUCACCUAAAUGAGAACCUGACAAAAAGGGGGAAAUUUUUAAACAAAAUUAUGGGAGGCCAUUGUUUUGGACUGAGCUUAUGCACUAGGUCCAAAAAGACCAGACCAAACCAAAAUGGAGUCACUUGUGCUAAAUAUGACAUAAUCAAAGUAAGACUUUAAGGAAACUCCUAGAUCCUAGAACAAACCAGGUUUUGUUUUUUCUCUUGUAAACAGGACGUUCCAGCAUAAGGAGGUACUCUCUACUGUAACCCUUAAAAAAAUAAGCUGAAGCACACCCAGCUUGCAAAAACCCACUGUUCUUCUGUUUCCCAGUGGGUGUCAAGACUGAAUAAGUACUUUUAUGAUGGCAAUAAUGACAUCAGUGACUUGAGUCAAUUUUGAGAGGAUGACCAUAAGGGGGGAAUUGUUAAUUCAAGUUUAACCUGAAGCUGCCUCUUACAUAUUUUAAGUUGAGCCUAAAGAUUUUCCUGUACAUAGUGAACUAUAGCCUAAAUGGAAGUGUAAACAGACUCUAGUCUACUCAUGCCAAUCACUAAGUUUUGGCCAAUCCAAUGUGGCCAACUGUUUGAACCAUGUUCAAAUAAACCCUGAGCUAUAACCAAUCCAGCUGUUUCUGUAUGUCACUUCCGUUUUCUGUCCAUAAAUCUUCCACCACGUGGCUGUGCUGGAGUCUCUGAGUCUACUCUGUGUCCGGAGGCUGCCCAAUUUGUGAAUCAUU